CCAGACCGCCAGCUAAGGUCCCAAAGUCAUGGUUAAGUGGGAAACGAUGUGGGAAGGCCCAGACAGCCAGGAUGUUGGCUUAGAAGCAGCCAUCAUUUAAAGAAAGCGUAAUAGCUCACUGGUCGAGUCGGCCUGCGCGGAAGAUGUAACGGGGCUAAACCAUGCACCGAAGCUGCGGCAGCGACACUAUGUGUUGUUGGGUAGGGGAGCGUUCUGUAAGCCUGUGAAGGUGUGCUGUGAGGUAUGCUGGAGGUAUCAGAAGUGCGAAUGCUGACAUAAGUAACGAUAAAGCGGGUGAAAAGCCCGCUCGCCGGAAGACCAAGGGUUCCUGUCCAACGUUAAUCGGGGCAGGGUGAGUCGACCCCUAAGGCGAGGCCGAAAGGCGUAGUCGAUGGGAAACAGGUUAAUAUUCCUGUACUUGGUGUUACUGCGAAGGGGGGACGGAGAAGGCUAUGUUGGCCGGGCGACGGUUGUCCCGGUUUAAGCGUGUAGGCUGGUUUUCCAGGCAAAUCCGGAAAAUCAAGGCUGAGGCGUGAUGACGAGGCACUACGGUGCUGAAGCAACAAAUGCCCUGCUUCCAGGAAAAGCCUCUAAGCAUCAGGUAACAUCAAAUCGUACCCCAAACCGACACAGGUGGUCAGGUAGAGAAUACCAAGGCGCUUGAGAGAACUCGGGUGAAGGAACUAGGCAAAAUGGUGCCGUAACUUCGGGAGAAGGCACGC
rnacentral:rRNA from 1 species